rnacentral:rRNA from 1 species
UUCCGGUUGAUCCCGCCGGACCCCACUGCUAUCGAGAUGGGACUAAGGUAUGCUAGUCGAACGACCAGAACUAUGUCUGGGAGUGGCACACUGCUCAGUAACACGUAGCUAACCUACCCUUAGGACGUGGAUACCCCCGAGAAAUUGGGGUUAAUCCGCGAUAGAUGUAAUGUCCUGGAAUGGUAUUACGUCUAAAGGUAUUUCAUACAUGUUUGAAAUAUGCCUAAGGAUGGGGCUGCGGCCGAUCAGGCUGUUGGUGAGGUAAUGGCUCACCAAACCUUUGACCGGUACGGGCCAUGAGAGUGGUAGCCCGGAGAUGGACACUGAGACAAGGGUCCAGGCCCUAAGGGGCGCAGCAACCGCGAAACCUCCACAAUGCACUCACGUGCGAUGGGGCUAUCUCGAGUGCCACCUGAUGAAGGUGGCUUUUCCUUGGUCUUCAAAGCCUUGGGAAUAAGAGGGGGGCAAGACUGGUGUCAGCCGCCGCGGUAACACCAGCCCCUCGAGUGGUGGGGAUGAUUAUUUGGCCUAAAGCGUCCGUAGCCGGCCGUGAAAGUCUUCCGUUAAAUCCAGCGUCUCAAGCGUUGGACCGCGGGAGAUACUACAUGGCUAGAGAGUGGGAGAGGUCAGCGGUAUUCUGGGGGUAGGGGCGAAAUCCUUUGAUCCCCGGAGGACCACCAGUGGCGAAGGCUGCUGACUAGAACACGUCUGACGGUCAGGGACGAAAGCUGGGGUAGCGAACCGGAUUAGAUACCCGGGUAGUCCCAGCCGUAAACGAUGCAUGCUAGGUGUUGGGUUGGCCACGAGCCACCCCAGUGCCGCAGGGAAGCCGCUAAGCAUG